rnacentral:rRNA from 1 species
AGUCCCUCUCUCUCCCCACACCUUAGACGCCUCUCUCCUUGCGGUUGAGCCAGCGGCUUCGGGUGCAGACAAAUCAAGUGACUUGACGGGCAG